CAGUAACGGCGAGUGAAGCGGCAACAGCUCAAAUUUGAAAUCUGGCUCCUUCGGGGUCCGAAUUGUAAUUUGUAGAGAGUGCUUCGGGCGAGACCUCGGUCUAAGUCCAUUGGAACAUGGUGUCAUAGAGGGUGAGAAUCCCGUAUGCGACCGUGGCUCGAGCCCAUGUGAAGCCUCUUCGACGAGUCGAGUUGUUUGGGAAUGCAGCUCAAAAUGGGUGGUAAAUUUCAUCUAAAGCUAAAUACUGGCUGGAGACCGAUAGCGCACAAGUAGAGUGAUCGAAAGAUGAAAAGCACUUUGGAAAGAGAGUCAAACAGUACGUGAAAUUGUUGAAAGGGAAGCGCUUGCAACCAGACCUGCCCGUAGGCGAUCAGCCGCUGUUCUCAGCGGUGUACUCGCUCUGCGAUCAGGCCAGCAUCGGUUUCGGCGGUCGGAUAAAGACCUUGGGAAUGUAGCUUCCCUUCGGGGAAGUCUUAUAGCCCUCGGUGUAAUGCGGCCAGCCGGGAUCGAGGACCGCGCUUCGGCUAGGAUGCUGGCGUAAUGGUUGUAAGCGACCCGUCUUGAAACACGGACCAAGGAGUCUAACAUCUAUGCGAGUGUUUGGGUGUCAAACCCAUACGCGGAAUGAAAGUGAACGGAGGUGAGAACCCUUAAGGGCGCAUCAUCGACCGAUCCAGAUGUCUUCGGAUGGAUUUGAGUAUGAGCAUAGCUGUUGGGACCCGAAAGAUGGUGAACUAUGCCUGAAUAGGGUGAAGCCAGAGGAAACUCUGGUGGAGGCUCGCAGCGGUUCUGACGUGCAAAUCGAUCGUCAAAUUUGGGUAUAGGGGCGAAAGACUAAUC
rnacentral:rRNA from 1 species